rnacentral:rRNA from 1 species
UUGCUGGCGACCGGCGCACGGGUGAGUAACACGUAUCCAACCUGCCUUUACUCGGGGAUAGCCUUUCGAAAGAAAGAUUAAUACCCGAUAGUAUAAUGAUUCCGCAUGGUUUCAUUAUUAAAGGAUUCCGGUAAAGGAUGGGGAUGCGUUCCAUUAGGUUGUUGGUGAGGUAACGGCUCACCAAGCCUUCGAUGGAUAGGGGUUCUGAGAGGAAGGUCCCCCACAUUGGAGCUGAGACACGGUCCAAACUCCUACGGGAGGCAGCAUG